GAUGAAGAACGCAGCGAAAUGCGAAAAGUAAUGUGAAUUGCAGAAUUCAGUGAACCAUCGAAUCUUUGAACGCACAUUGCGCCCGCUGGAACUCCGGCGGGCACGCCUGUCCGAGCGUCAUUUCAACCCUCAGGCCCCCCUUCGCGGGCGGGCCUGGUGUUGGGGCCCGGCCGCUACCCUGCGGCCGUCCCCUAAAUUGAGUGGCGGCCUCGCCGUGAUCCCUUGCGUAGUAAUGCACCUCGCACCGGAGAGCGCCGUGGCCACGCCGUAAAACCCCCAAUUUUCAAUGGUUGACCUCGGAUCAGGUGGGAAUACCCGCUGAACUUAAGCAUAUCAAUAAGCGGAGGA
rnacentral:misc_RNA from 1 species